rnacentral:rRNA from 1 species
AGCCUUCCUACACCCUACGAUGGAUCUGCGGCCGAUUACGUUGUUGUUGGGGUAAUGGCCCAACAAGCCCGUAAUCGGUACGGGUUGUGGGAGCAAGAGCCCGGAGUUGGAUUCUGAGACACGAAUCCAGGCCCUACGGGGCGCAGCAGGCGCGAAAACUUUACAAUGCGGGCAACCGUGAUAAGGGAACCUCGAGUGCCUGUAAAUGCAGGCUGUUCAGGUGCCUAAAACACACCUGAAGAAAGGGCCGGGCAAGACCGGUGCCAGCCGCCGCGGUAAUACCGGCGGCUCGAGUGGUGGCCGCUUUUAUUGGGCUUAAAGCGUUCGUAACUGGGUUGUUAAGUCUCUUGGGAAAUCUGGCGGCUUAACCGUCAGGCGUCUAAGGGAUACUGGCAAUCUUGGAACCGGGAGAGGUGAGGGGUACUUCGGGGGUAGGAAUGAAAUCCUGUAAUCCUCGAGGGACCACCUGUGGCGAAGGCGCCUCACCAAAA